UGCCGGAGGAAGGUAGAAUUCCCGGUGUAGCGGUGAAAUGCGUAGAGAUCGGGAGGAAUACCAGUGGCGAAGGCGGCCUUCUGGACUGACACGACGCUGAGGUGCGAAAGCGUGGGUAGCAAACAGGAUUAGAUACCCUGGUAGUCCACGCCUAAACAAUGUCAGACUAGCCGUUGGGUCCCUUGAGGACUUAGUGGCCCAGUUAACGCGAUAAGUCGACCGCCUGGGGAGUACGGCCGCAAGGUUAAAACUCAAAUAAUUGACGGGGGCCCGCACAAGCGGUGGAGCAUGUGGUUUAAUUCGAUGCAACGCGAAGAACCUUACCUACCCUUGACAUCCUGCGAACCCGGAAGAGAUUCCGGGGUGCCUUCGGGAGGCGCAGAGACAGGUGCUGCAUGGCUGUCGUCAGCUCGUGUUGUGAAAUGUUGGGUUAAGUCCCGUAACGAGCGCAACCCUUGUCCCUAUUUGCCAGCGAUUCGGUCGGGAACUCUAGGGAGACUGCCGGUGACAAACCGGAGGAAGGUGGGGACGACGUCAAGUCAUCAUGGCCCUUACGGGUAGGGCUACACACGUGCUACAAUGGCCGGUACAAAGGGUUGCGAAGCCGCGAGGUGAAGCCAAUCCCAGAAAGCCGGCCUCAGUCCGGAUUGGAGUCUGCAACUCGACUCCAUGAAGUCGGAAUCGCUAGUAAUCGUGCAUCAGAAUGGCACGGUGAAUACGUUCCCGGGCCUUGUACACACCGCCCGUCACACCAUGGGAGUGGACUGCACCAGAAGUGGUUAGCCUAACUUCGGAGGGCGAUCACCCUCGUCGCCACUUUCCCCAUUUGAAAAACAGCUAUAAUUCC
rnacentral:rRNA from 1 species